rnacentral:tRNA from 1 species
GGGCUGGUGGUCUAGUGGUAUGACGUUCGCUUGACAGGCGAAAGGUCGCCGGUUCAAUUCCGGCUCAGCCCA